rnacentral:rRNA from 3 species
UACGUAGGUGGCAAGCGUUGUCCGGAUUUACUGGGCGUAAAGGAUGCGUAGGCGGAUGUUUAAGUGAGAUGUGAAAUACCCGAGCUCAACUUGGGUGCUGCAUUUCAAACUGGAUAUCUAGAGUGCAGGAGAGGAAAGCGGAAUUCCUAGUGUAGCGGUGAAAUGCGUAGAGAUUAGGAAGAACACCAGUGGCGAAGGCGGCUUUCUGGACUGUAACUGACGCUGAGGCAUGAAAGCGUGGGGAGCAAACAGG